rnacentral:lncRNA from 1 species
UUCAAGCUUUUGGCAUACUCGUGGUGGUGGACAACAACGAUUAGUCCAAAUUAUGAGCUCCAAGUUGAAUCGUUCCGAUAAACAGGAAUCCGAACUUCAACCUAAUUCACAAUUGGCUGUAUUAACUCGUCAAGAAUUAUGGGAGGUGCAGGACGCUUCUCAGCAAACAACAGACAACGCCAAAGAAAAGGAAAAGGAAGUUGAGAUAGAGGAGGAAAAAGAAGAAAAA